ACCGGAAAACCCUGAUGAGUAUAUAUUUUCCUUUUGCUUUCCGAUAUUUGUUUAUUGGAUUGUUUUAAAUAGUUUGAAAUCUGCAAAACAGUAAAGGUUUGCGAAGAACAUUGCCAAUAUGAAAGCAGCAAUCAUUGGUUUACUUAUCUGUUGUUGUACGGCAUAUCUCUCAGUAACUGAAGCUAAUUAUGGCUGUCCAAUUCCUACUUUGUGUCGACUCCAUUGCCUUAGAAAACUCUGUCUUAUUGGACGCUGUGGAGGAAGAGGAUGGAUAAAAAGGAAAUGCAAAUGCUAUAUAUGUAAGAGAUCUAAUCAAGACAAGGCCAUUGAAGAUUUCCCAGCAGACGAAUUCACGGAGGAAUUCCCAAUAGACGAUAUCAACUAACUGUUUAUAAUGUUUGUCAACACCAAGUUACAACAUCAAGACACGUUAUAAACAGUUAUCGAGUAAAUAUCUGAGAAUAUAAUACAUAAAAUAUUAAAAAUAAAUCUUGUUACCAA